rnacentral:rRNA from 1 species
GACAGAGGUGCCAAGCGUUAGGCGGAAUCACUGGGCUUAAAGCGUGUGUAGGCGGGCGGGCAAGUACCUUGUGAAAUCCCACGGCUCAACCGUGGAACGGCUGGGUAUACUGCCUGUCUUGAGCCAGCUAGGGGCGACCGGAACAGACGGUGGAGCGGUGAAAUGCGUAGAUAUCGUCUGGAACGCCAAAGGUGAAAACAGGUCGCUGGGGCUGAGCUGACGCUGAGACACGAAAGCCAGGGGAGCGAACAGG